ensembl:lncRNA MIR663AHG MIR663A host gene
AUUCUCCCGUGACGGUGACUCCAACGGUUGGCUGAGGACGAUUCCCUGAGCCUUGACAAAGCAGGAGCCCUCCGUGGCGGUGCGUCGGUGUCGAGGCUCCAGUCUGACUAAUCCAGGGGGUCGACAAAACAGAUUCGGGACACUAUGCUACACGGAGGGCCUACCAGGAUGCAGAAACAGCAGACGGAGUCCAGGGAAAGCAGUGCGGCAUCCCAGCCUCAGGCCUGCCCGUACGGUGUUCGGCAAGACAAAUCUCUCCUCUGCCUUCUCCUUAUCAGACUACUCAACAUGAAGGCAAUAAGAAUGAAGACCUCUAUGUAUAAUAAUUGACUUCCACUUAAUAAAUAAGGUUACUUGGUACACUGGUCGACAAAACCUUGAAAUGUUGAUGUUUAAGGGCUGUUGAUUGCUGGCAGCAAAGAAGUCCAACUGUGCUGGUACCCGAGAUAGCGUCUCCACAUUUUCUUCCAGGAUCAUCACCUUUGUUCUAAAUAGCUCCCACAUAGUGUGAACAGAAGUCAUAUGUUUUAGAUUUUCUGCCUUGGCACCCAGGAAACCAGUAUGAUUGAGUAAACAUAUUAAACUUCCUCUGCAUUUCCAGCCUGAACAGAUGUUGAGUACAAGCUGAUCCACCUACGUUCAACCUGAGAGAGUCCACAUCCACAGACUGUUUCAUUUCCCUUUUUCAAUUUACAUAGAAGCAUAGAUUCUUGCUGGCAUAUACAAAUGCGCCAUUUAAGGCAAUCAAAAAUGGUUCCACAUCUCAUCUGAUUUCCACAAUUGUUGCUGUAACGAUGGACUACUGAGGAGAGAGACAAUUUCUCUGGCACAUCUUCCCACAUUUUAGCAACAUGUUCAUGGAGAGCCAAUAUUCAGUAAUUACAGCCCAAUUCCUCACAAUUUCACAAUUCGCUAACAAUAUGCAUUUUCACAAUGUAAAGCUGAUUUUCCUUUAACCAAAUCAAACAUGAAAAGAUAGCUGCAUGCAAUGGGCAAUCUAGAUCAUUAGAAGAUUGAUGUAAAAUUAGAGGACACUGAGACUGGAAUAGAUUGCAAACUUCAGGGAGCUCAGAAAACUUGUAAACUCUACAUUUUGAGGAAAUAUGUUGUCGAUGCUUUUGCAACUCUAUGCAGUAACUUAACAAAUAAAGCCUUAAAGUAACUUA